GUUCAAUCGGAGCAUAAAUGUAUUAUCAAGGCCUUUUUCCCUCAAUAGCAUCACUGUGCUUAGAGGGAGCUAAUGUGCGGCAGCAGUCAUUCAGGCAGUCAGACGGUGUGGGAGUGAAUGUCAAGGACAGAAUGAAAGCCUCCUGUAUGAGGCUUGCCUCGCACACUGUCCCCUGAGCCCCAGCUCUGUCUGGCUUGUUACAUAUCCGAGGAGUCGGGAGAUUGACACCUCGGAGGUACUGACACGACCGUGUUUUUCCAUCCACCUUCUUUUGUUUCAGGUUAUCAGUAGCCCAGAGGUUCACAUGCCAAGAAAGCGAGGAGGAGGACAAGGAGGAGGAGGGGCAGGAAGAGGAGCCAGAGGGGACACACCCAGGGCGAUCAGUCUGGAACACGUAGCAUACGCUCCUAAAGAAUGCCUGUGACUUAAGAACCUGUGGAUGAGGACAUCGCUGGAAUACCUCAGAAUUUGGGUAUGGUGGUUAUUUUCAUAGAACCUAUUUCUAUUUAUAAUAAUGAUAUACCUAGGGUUGUUUCAGUACAGUUAUAUUGCUAUGUUUAGGUGUGUGGGUUUACCAUGGGGAAAUGUUGCUGGUAUAAUAAGUCACCAGACGGGGCGGCAGGUAGCCUAGUGGUUAGAGCGCUGGACUAGUAAACCGAAAGGUUGCAAGAUCAAAUCCCCGAGCUGACGAAGGUAAAAAAAUCUGUCGUUCUGCCUCUGAACAAGGCAGUUAACCCAAUGUUCCUAGGCCGUCAUUGAAAAUAAGAAUUUGUCCUUAAAUAAAGGUAAAAUAAAACCUGGUAAUAGCGGCCUACCACAAAUUCCUUGUUUUGCUAAGUUUGCUGUAUUGUACAUUGCU
rnacentral:lncRNA from 1 species